rnacentral:lncRNA from 1 species
GAUUAAUAAUUUAAAAAAUAAAAAAGUGCUCAUAAUAAAAUUUUGAUUUCUAAUAUGCUAAGUAUAGACAAUUUAUAAAAACAAAAGCUCUUUAGAGGUUUCAAUAAUUAAGAGUAUAAAGAGGUCUUGAAACUAGUUAUCUUUGAGAACUGCUGCUUCAAAGCUGCUUCUCACAGCUGGCAUCUUACAUUCAGAUGCCUUCUACACCCCACCGCAAGCACUGAACAGGGUACUACUCACCACUGAAUUCCAAGAACUGAGCAAAUGCCUGAAGAAUAGGCACAAGUAAGACUGAAAAUUGCAACCUAGAGUCUGUAGGUAAAAUUCAUGUCAAAAUCGUUAAUAUUUUUUCAUCUUGAAAUCCAAAUUUUCCUGUGGUAAAUUAUCAACAUUAUUUGUUUUUGCUAUCCUAAAGUGAUGACGGUGUUGAGGAUGAUUUCCUGUGUGACAUGCUUUUCCAGCACAAAAUAAAAAUAAUUCCUUUCAGAUAAUUUUACUACAAAUGGCAUGAUGCUUUUGUAACAAAAGUGUUGAAUAUAAACAGGAGAACAUUUUUUAAAGUAAGCUGAAACACCUUAGCCAAGAAAUUGCACUUCUAUUUACAUAAUUUUUGUUUCAACUCACACAUUCAUGUACUCUCUUGCUCUACACAUUAUUGAAAUUCUUUAUGAAACAAAUCAAAACAUCAGGGUGUUUGGCACCUUCAUAAUAGCAGUAACCAAUUUUACUCAUGAUUUGCUUUGGGAAACAAACUACUUGUUAACUGGUGAAGUUACAUAUAGCUGUUUUCAGUAUUUUUAACAGUGACUGGGCAUAAAUCAAGUUUUGUGCAUUCUAGCACCUUGCUGAUGAAGAACCAGGUCUUAUUAAAGCAAAUAGUUCAAUGUAUGAACACAUCAGUUGCAUUAUAUUCAUCUCCUCAGAUCCCUCGAAAACUUUAGUAACUUGCCACUUACUAAUGACCACAAAGUGCAAUAAACAUAAUCAACACUUGACUUUUAUGUUACCACACAUACAAAAACAUGUUAAUAUUCAAGAAGCUUGUCACUCCAUUUUCUUCUCUGUUUGUAUUUUUCCUUAAUUUUUAAGCAUUUACAUGGCCUUAGAUGUUUUAUUCAAAAGCAGAGACAUUACUUUGCCAACAAAGGUCCAUCUAGUCGAG